rnacentral:tRNA from 1 species
GGGGAUGUAGCUCAGUGGUAGAGCACUUGCUUAAUGUGCAGGAGGUCCUGGAUUCCAUCUCCC